rnacentral:rRNA from 2 species
CUUUAAGUCUCCUGAAGGAACGUUGAAGACGACGACGUUGAUAGGCCGGGUGUGUAAGCGCAGCGAUGCGUUGAGCUAACCGGUACUAAUGAACCGUGAGGCUUAACCUU